rnacentral:rRNA from 1 species
CGGACAGAAGGGAGCUUGCUCCCGGAUGUUAGCGGCGGACGGGUGAGUAACACGUGGGUAACCUGCCUGUAAGACUGGGAUAACUCCGGGAAACCGGAGCUAAUACCGGAUAGUUCCUUGAACCGCAUGGUUCAAGGAUGAAAGACGGUUUCGGCUGUCACUUACAGAUGGACCCGCGGCGCAUUAGCUAGUUGGUGGGGUAAUGGCUCACCAAGGCGACGAUGCGUAGCCGACCUGAGAGGGUGAUCGGCCACACUGGGACUGAGACACGGCCCAGACUCCUACGGGAGGCAGCAGUAGGGAAUCUUCCGCAAUGGACGAAAGUCUGACGGAGCAACGCCGCGUGAGUGAUGAAGGUUUUCGGAUCGUAAAGCUCUGUUGUUAGGGAAGAACAAGUGCGAGAGUAACUGCUCGCACCUUGACGGUACCUAACCAGAAAGCCACGGCUAACUACGUGCCAGCAGCCGCGGUAAUACGUAGGUGGCAAGCGUUGUCCGGAAUUAUUGGGCGUAGAGGGCUCGCAGGCGGUUUCUUAAGUCUGAUGUGAAAGCCCCCGGCUCAACCGGGGAGGGUCAUUGGAAACUGGGAAACUUGAGUGCAGAAGAGGA